GAGGCGUGGCCGAGUGGUUGAAGGCGGCAGUCUUGAAAACUGUUAAACCGCAAGGUUUCGUGGGUUCAAAUCCUACCGCCUCC
rnacentral:tRNA from 1 species